GAGACAUUCAAGGGUACUGACUAUUUUGGUUUGCUGAUUCUUGAGUGGCAGCUGAAUCAAGAAACUUGAUCUCUUUCUGAAGAAACCCCUCUUCUUUGUGUGUGAGGACAUUUGGUUUGUGCUUGGAGACAGUCAGUUCAUGGUCUUCAACAUGACACUUUCCCCAAAGUCAUGAACACAGACAGUUCCUGUACAAAGAGCCCUGGUGAUGUUUUUAAACAAGAGAUGAUGUCCAAGUCCUUCAAGGAUAUUUCCAAAUACUUCUCUGAGGAAGAAUGGGCAAAGCUGACCAAAUGGCAGAAAAGUGCCUACAUGUUUAUGAAAAGAAACUACAUCAGAAUGACAGACCUAGGUGUCAUGGUCAACCAACCAGUUUUCAUGCGUAGAAAGGAUCAGAUCACAGAAUCCUUAAUGAAGGAAUCUGAUGAAGGUGAACACUAUAAACAGAUAUUUGGCAUGGAGCAUACUAAGGGCCUGAAGUUGUGCAUGGAUUCUCUACACCAUGAAUGAACAAGAUGAAAGAAAUACAGCUCAUGAUUAAUGGCUUAUGACUCCCCUUGACCGAAGAAGAGUUGGAACAGGUACCCGUUUGUCUAAUUCCAUAUACAGUGUUCUCAUCAGGAUUAGGAUUGUUGACACACCCAUUACCUCACUCUUUGAUGCCUAGAUUAUUGUGGCUCAUUUUUUUCCUCCUUUCCCUACAUCAUCUCCACACACAAUCCUGGUAUACAAUGCUUUCUCCUUUCUUGCAUUUACUUUAUUGUCUAUGCAGUGUUCCACAAGCUUCUGUGUAGAAGACCUGUCCUUUUGAUACUCUGUGUUUUUCCAUUUUCUCUCUUUACCAAAUUUUAUGUAGAUCACACUCCCAGUUAUAUGAACAUCACUAAAGUUUUCCUUAAAAUUUGUCUAGAAAAAAAGAUAAAGAACAUUUUAGUUCUGGGAAAUGUGAUUUAGUCCAUUCUUUACACAUGUAAGCUUCUGUUUUACUCUGUAUUUAGGCACAAUGAUGAAAUAACCUCCCAGAUAUAAGAAAGCACAUUAAUAAAAUAUAGGAAGGGGACCUGAACAUCAACACUCUGAUAUGGAAAGAGGCACAGGCCAGGCUCCAUAGAUCGAAACAGAUUACAGAUAGUUUAAAAGUUUCUUUUUCUUUAAUCUUUAUUAACUUGAGAAUGUAUUAUUUACAUUUCGAUUAUUAUUCCCCUUCCCAGUUUCUGGGCCAACAUCCCCAUAACCCCUCUCCAUCCCCUUCUACAUGGGCUUCCCCUCCGCUUCCCCCCCAUUACCACCUUCCCCCAAAAAUCACGUUCACUGGGGAUUCAGUCUUAGCAGGACCAAGGGCUUCCCCUUCCACUGGUGCUCUUACUAGGCUAUUCAUUGCUACCUAUGAGGUUGGAGUCCAGGGACAGUCCAUGUAUAGUCUUUGGGUAGUAGCUUAGUCCCUGGUUGGUUGGCAUUGUUUUUCAUAUGGGGACUCAAUCCCUUGAAGCUCUUUCAGACCUUUCUCUGAUUCCUUCAAUGGGGGUCCUGAUCUAUGUUCACUGGAUUGCUGCUGGCAUUCGCCUAUGUAUUUGCUGUAUUCUGGCCCGCUUCUCAGGAGAGAUCUACAUCCAGUUUCUGUCAGCCUGCACUUCUUUGCUUCAUCCAUCUUAUCUAAUUGGGUCGCUGUAUAUGUAGGGGCAACAAGUGGGGCAGGCUCUGAAUGGGUGUUCCUUCUGCCUCUGUUCUAAACUUUGCCUCCAAAUUCACUGCCAAGGGUUUUCUUGUUACCCUUAUGUUUGUUUGCUUGUUUGUUUGUUUGUUUUCCCAUUUUCUUUCUUUUUUUUUAUUAACUUGAAUAUUUCUUAUUUACAUUUCGAGUGUUAUUCCCUUUCCCGGUUUCCGGGCAAACAUCCCCCUAAUCCCUACCCCUGCCCUUCUUUAUGGAUUCCCUUCCCCAUCCUCCCUCCAUUGCCGCCCUCCCCCCAACAAUCUAGAUCACUGGGGGUUCAGUCUUAGCAGGACCCAGGGCUUCCCCUUCCACUGGUGCUCUUCCUAGGAUAUUCACUGCUACCUAUGAGGUCAGAGUCCAGGGUCAGUCCAUGUAUAGUCUUUAGGUAGAGGGUUAGUCCCUGGAAGCUCUGGUUGCUUGGCAUUGUUGUACAUAUGGGGUCUCGAGCCCCUUCAAGCUCUUCCAGUUCUUUCUCUGAUUCCUUCAACGGGGGUCCUAUUCUCAGUUCAGUGGCUUGCUGCUGGCAUUCGCCUCCGUAUUUGCUGUAUUCUGGCUGUGUCUCUCAGGAGCGAUCUACAUCCGGCUCCUAUGGGCCUGCACUUCUUUGCUUCAUCCAUCUUGUCUAAUUGGAUGGCUGUAUAUGUAUGGGCAACAUGUGGGGCAGGCUCUGAAUGGAUGUUCCUUCUGUGUCUGUUUUAAUCUUUGCCUCUCUCUUCCCUGCCAAGGGUAAUCUUGUUCCCCUUUUAAAGAAGGAGUGAAGCAUUCACAUUUUGAUCAUCCAUCUUGAGUUUCAUUUGUUCUAGGCAUCUAGGGUAAUUCAAGCAUUUGGGCUAAUAGCCACUUAUCAAUGAGUGCAUACCAUGUGCGUUUUUCUGUGAUUGGGUUACCUCACUCAGAAUGAUAAGGAGUGAAGCAUUCGCAUUUUGGUCAUCCUUCUUGAGUUUCAUGUGUUCUGUGCAUCUAGGGUAGUUCAAGCAUUUGGGCUAAUAGCCACUUAUCAAUGAUUGCAUACCAUGUGUGUUUUUCUGUGAUUGGAUUACCUCACUCAGGAUGAUAUUUUCCAUUUCCAUCCAUUUGCCUAUGAAUUUCAUAAUGUCAUUGUUUUUGAUAGCUGAGUAAUAUUCCAUUGUGUAGAUGUACCAUAUUUUCUGUAUCCAUUCCUCUGUUGAAGGGCAUCUGGGUUCUUUUCAGCUUCUGGCUAUUAUAAAUGAGGCUGCUAUGAACAUAGUGGAGCAUCUGUCUUUGUAAUAUGUUGGGGCAUCUUUUGGGUAUGUGACCAAGAGAGGAAUACCUGGGUCUUCAGGUAGUUCAAUGUCCAAUUUUAUGAGGAACCUCCAGAUUGAUUACCAGAAUGGUUGUACCAGUCUGCAAUCCCACCAACAAUGGAGGAGUGUUCAUCUUUCUACACAUCCUCGCCAGCAUUUGCUGUCACCUGAGUUUUUGAUCUUAGCCAUCCUCACUGGUGUGAGGUGAAAUCUCAGGGUUGUUUUGAUUAGCAUUUCCUUAUGACUAAAAAUGUUGAACAUUUCUUUAGGUGUUUCUCCGCCAUUCGGCAUUCCUCAGCUGUGAAUUCUUUGUUUAGCUCGGAACACAAUUUUUUAAUAAGGUUAUUUGUCUCCCUGCGGUAUACUUCUUGAGUUCUUUGUAUAUUUUGGAUACAAGCCCUCUAUCAGCUGUAGGAUUGGUAAAGAUCUUUUCCCAAUCUGUUGGUUGCCCUUUUCUCCUAACAACAGUGUCCUUUACCUUACAGAAGCUUUGCAGUUUUAUGAGAUCCCAAUUGUAGAUUCUUGAUCUUAGAGCAUAGGCCAAUGGAGUUUUGUUCAGGAAAUUUUCUCCAGUGCCCAUGUGUUCCAGAUGCUUCCCCACUUUUUCUUCUAUUAGUUUCAGUAUCUGGUGUGAUGUGGAGGUCCUUGAUCCACUUGGACUUAAGUUUUGUACAGGGUGAUAAGCAUGCAUCAAUCUGCAUUCUUUUACAUGUUGACCUCCAGUUGAACCAGCACCAUUUGCUGAAAAUGCUAUAGUUUUUCCAUUGGAUGGUUUUGAGUGACCAUAGGUUCAUUUCUGGGUCUUCAAUUCUAUUCCACUGGACUAUCUGUCUGUCUCUGUACCAAUACCAUACAGAUUUUAUCACUAUUGCUCUGUAAUACUGCUUGAGUUCAGGGAUAGUGAUUCCCCAGGAAAUCCUUUUAUUGUUGAGGAUAGUUUUAGCUAUCCUGGUUUUUUUCUUAUUCCAGAUGAAUUUGCAAAUUGUUCUACCUAGCUCUCUGAAGAACUGGAUUGGUAUUUUGAUGGGGAUUUCAUUGAAUCUGUAGAUCGCUUUUGGUAAUAUGGUCAUUUUUACUAUAUUAAUCCUGCCAAUUCAUGAGGAUGGGAGAUCUUUCCAUCUUCUGAGAUCUUCAAUUUCUUCCUUUAGAGGCUUGUAGUUCUUAUCAUACAGAUCUUUUACUUGCUUGGUUAAAGUCACACCGAGGUAUUUUAUAUUAUUUGGGACUAUUAUGAAGGGUGUCGUUUCCCUAAUUUCUUUCUUGGCUUGCUUUUUGUGUAGAGGAAGGCUACUGAUUUAUUUGAGUUAAUUUUAUACCCAGCCAUUUUGCUGAAGGUGUUUAUCAGGUUUAGUAGUACUCUGGUGGAACUUUUGGGAUCACUUAAAUAUACUAUCAUAUCAUCUGCAAAUAGUGAUAUUUUGACUUCUUCUUUUCCAAACUGUAUCCCCUGGAUCUCCUUUUGUUGUCUGACUGCUCUGGCUAGAACUUCAAGAACUAUAUUCAGUAAGUAGGGAGAGAGGGGGCAGCCUUGUUUAGUCACUGAUUUUAGUGGGAUUGCUUCAAGUUUCUCUCCAUUUAGUUUAAUGUUAGCUAUUGGUUUGCUGUAUAUGGCUUUUACUAUCUUUAAGUAUGGGCCUUGAAUUCCUAUUCUUUCCAGGACUUUUAUCAUGAAGGAGUGUUGAAUUUUGUCAAAUGUUUGCUCAGCAUCCAGGGAAAUGAUCAUGUGGUUUUUCUCUUUCAUUUUGUUUAUAUAGUGAUUUAUGUUGAUGGCUUUCUGUAUAUUAAACCAUCCCUGCAAGCCUGGGAUGAAGCCUACUUGAUCAUGAUGGAUGAUUGUUUUGAUGUGCUCUUGGAUUUGGUUGCGAGAUUUAUAUUGAGUAUUUUUGAAUCGAUAUUCAUAAGGGAAAUUGGUCUGAAGUUUUCUUUCUUUGUUGGGUCUUUGUGUGGUUUAGGUAUAAGAGUAAUUGUUUCUUCAUAGAAGGAAUUCAGUAGCGCUCCAUCUGUUUCAAUUUUGUGGAAUAGUUUAGAUAGUAUUGGUAUGAGGUCUUCUAUGAAGAUCAGAUAGAAUUCUACACUGAACCCACCUGGAUCUGGGCUGUUUUUGGUUGGGAGACCUUUAAUGACUGAUUCUAUUUCUUUAGGAGUUUGGGGUUGUUUAAAUGGUUUAUCUUUCCCUGAUUUAACUUCGGUACCUAGUAUCUGUCUAGGAAAUUGUUCAUUUCCUGCAGAUUUUUAUGUUUUGUUGAAUAUAGAGUUUUGUACUAGGAUCUGAUGAUUUUUUGAAUUUCCACUCGAGCUGUAGUUAUGUCUCCCUUUUCAUUUCUGAUUUUGUUAAUUUGGACACACUCUCUGUGUUCUCUCAUUAGUGUGACUAAGGGUUUAAUCUAUCUUUUUGUUUUUCUCAAAGAACCAACUUUUGGUUCUGUUGCUUCUUUAUGUAGUCCUUUUUGUUUCUACUUGGUUGGUUUCAGCUCUGAGUUUGAUUAUUUCCUGCCUUCUACUCCUUCUGGGUGUACUCUUCUUUUUGUUCUAGAGCUUUUAUGUGUGCUGUCAAGCUGCUGAUAUAUGCUCUCUCAUGUUUUUUUCUGAAGGCACUCAGAGAUAUGAGUUUUCCUCUUAGCACAGCUUUUAUUGUAUCCUAUAAGUUUGGGUAUGUUGUACCUUCAUUUCCAUUAAAUUCUAAGAAGUCUUUAAUUCCUUUCUUUAUUUCUUCCUUGACCAGGUUAUCAUUGAGUAAGCAUUGUUCAAUUUCGAUAUAUAUGUUGGCAUUCUUUCCUUUUUGUUGCUGAAGACCAGCUUCAGGCCUUGGUGGUCUGAUAGGACAUGUGGGAUUAUUUCUAUCUUUCUGUAUCUAUUGAGGCCUGUUUUCUGACCAAUUAUAUGGUCCAUUUUGGAGAAAGCACCAUGAGGUGGUGAGAAGAAGGUAUAUCCUUUUGUUUUAGGAUAGAAUGUUCUAUAAAUAUGUGUUAAGUCCAUUUGGUUCAUGACUUCUCUUAGUCUGUCUAUGUCUCUGUUUAAUUUCUGUUUCCAUGACAUGUCCAUUGAUGAGAGUGGGGUGUUGAAAUCUCCAACUAUUAUUGUGUGAGGCGAAAUGUGUGCUUUAGGCUUUAGUACAUUUUCUUUUAUGUUUGUAGUUGCCCUUGUAUUUGGAGCAUACUUAUUUAGGAUUGAGAGUUCGUCUUGGUCAAUUUUUCCUUUGAUGAAUAUCAAGUGUCCUUCCUUAUCUUUUCUGAUGACUUUUUGUUGAAAACUGAUUUUAUUCCAUUCUAGAAUGGCUACUCCAGCUUGCUUCUUCAGACUAUUUGUUUGGAAAGUUUUUUUCCAACCUUUCACUCUGAGGUAGUGUCUGUCUUUGUCUCUGAGGUGUGUUUCCUGUAGGCAGCAGAAUGCAUGGUCCUCAUUGCAUAUCCAGUUGGGGAGCUGAGUCCAUUGAUGUCGAGAGAUAUUAAGGCAUAGUGAUUGUUGCUUUCUGUUAUAUUCAUAUUUGGAUGUGAGACUAUGUUUGUGUGCUUUUCUUCUCUUUCUUUUGUUGCCAAAACGAUUAGUUUCUUGCUUUUUCUAGGGUGUAGCUUGCCUCCUUCUUUUGAGCUUUAUCAUUUAUUAUCGUUUGUAGGGCUGGAUUUGUAAAAAGAUAUUGUGUAAAUUUGGUUGUGUCAUGGAAUAUCUUGGUAUCUCCGUCUAUGUUAAUUGAGAGUUUUGCUGGAUACAGUAACCUGGGCCGGCAUUUCUGUUCUCUUAGGCUCUGUAUGACUUCUGUCCAGCAUCUUCUGGCUUUCAUAAUCUCUGGUGAGAAGUCUGGUGUGAAUCUGAUAAGUCUGCCUUUAUAUGUUACUUGACCUUUUUGCCUUACUGCUUUUAAUAUUCAUUCCUUGUUUUGUGCAUUUGGUGUUUUGACUAUUAUGUGACUUGGUGAGCUUUUUUUGUUGAUCCAAUCUAUUUGGGGUUCUGCAAGCUUCUUGUAUGUUUAUUGGUAUCUCUUUCUUUAGGUUAGGGAGGUUUUCUUCUAUGAUUUUGUUGAAGAUAUUUAUUGGUCCUUUGGGCUGGGAGUCUUCACUCUCUUCUAUGUCUAUUAUCCUUUGGUUUGAUCUUCUCAUUGAGUCCUGGAUAUCCUGUAUGUUUUGAACCAGUACAUUUUUGCGUUUUACAUUAUGUUUGACAGUUUUGUCGAUGAUUUCUAUGGAAUCUUCUGCUCCUGAGAGUCUCUCUUCUCUCUCUAGUAUUUUGUUGGUGAUUUUUGUAUAUACAUUUCCUUGUCUUUUCCUUUGGUUUUCUAUAUCCAUGGUUGUUUCCCUUUGUGCUUUCUUUAUUUCUUCUAUUUCCAUUUUCAAUUCCUUCACCUGUUUGGUUGUGUUUUCCUGGAAUUCUUUCAGGGAUUUUUGUGAUUCCUCUUUGUAGACUUCUACUUGUUUAUUUAUGUUUUCCUCCAUUUCUCUAAGGGAGUUCUUUAUGUCUUCUUGAAGUCCUCCAUCAUCAUGAUCAAAUGUGAUUUUAAAUCUAGAUCUUGCUUUUCUGGUGUGUUUGGAUAUUCAGUGUUUGCUUUGAUGGGAGAAUUGGGAUCCAAUGAUGCCCUGUAGUCUUGCUUUCUGUUGCUUGGGUUCCUGCACUUGCCUCUCGCCAUCAGAUUUUCUCUGGUGUUACCUUGUUCUGCUAUUUCUGACAGUGGCUAUACAGGCCUGUGUGUGAGGAAAUCUGUAGACCUGUUUUCCUGUUUGCUUUCAGCCAAGUAUGGGAAGAGAGUUUUCUGCUUUCAGGCAUGUAGUCUUUCCUGUCUACUGGUCUUUAGCUGUUCCUGUGGGCGUGUGUUCUGAGUCCACCAGGCAGGUCACUUGGAGCAGAAAAGUUGGUCUUACCUGUGGUCCCAUUGCUGAAGUUGCUCCUGAUGGGCUGCUUUUGAGCUCUCUGUGAAGGUGGCAACCAGGGGGCCUGUGCUGCCUUUUCCUGGUUUCCCCAUGCACUGUGGUCCCAGAUGGUGUUAGGUGUUUUCCUCUGGAGUCAGAAGUGUGGGCAAAGUGUAAUCUCUUCUGGCUUCCCAGGCGUGUCUGCCCCUCUGAACGUUUAGCUCUCCCUUCCAUUGGAUUUGGGUGCAGGGAGCUGUUGAUUGGUUCCCUUCAGGUCCAGGCAGUGUCUGGACUGCAGAGGACCUGCCAGUUGAGUGCCCCUAUCUUCCGGGUCUCAUAGGCCCUACACCCAUUUUUACUAUAUUAAUCCUGCCAAUCCAUGAUUAUUGGUGAUCUUUCUAUCUUCUGAGAUCUUCUUUGAUUUCUUUCUUCAGAGACUUAAAUUUCUUUUCAUAUAGAUCUUCCACUUGCUUGCUUAAAGUCAAAACAAGAUAUUUUACAUUAUUUGGGACUAUUGUGAAGGGUGUCUUUUCCCUAAUUUCAUUCUUACCCUGUUUAUUCUUUCAGUAGAGGAAAGCUAUUGAUUUGUUUGAGUGAACUUUAGACCCAGCCACUUUGCUGAAGUUGUUUAUCAAGUUUAAUAGUUCUCUGUUGUAACUUUUGGGAUCACUUAAUUAUCCCAUGAUAUCAUCUACAAAUAGUGAUAUUUUGACUUCUUCCCUUCCAAUUUGUAUCCGUUUGACCUCCUUUCAUUGUCUGAUUGAACUGGCUAGGACAUUGAGCAGUAUAUUGAAUAAGUAAAAAAAAAAAAAUACCUUGUCUAGUCCCUGAUUUUAGUGGGAUUGCUUCAAGUUUCUUUCCAUCUAGUUUGAUGUUAGCUACUGGGUUGCCAGAUAUUGUUUUUGCAAUGUUUACGUAUGGACUUGAGUUCCUGAUAUUUCCAGAACUUUUAGCAAGAAGGGGUGUUGAAUUUUAUUAAAUGCUUUCUUAGAGUCUAAUGAAAGGAUCAAGUGUUUUUUAUCUUUGAGUUUGUUUGUAUGAUGGAUUAUGUUGAUGGAUUUCCAUAUAUUAAACAAUCCUGGCAUCCCUGGGAUAAAGCCUACUUGACCAUGAUGGAUGAUCAUUUUCAUGUAUUUUUGGAUUCAGUUUGCAAGAAUUUUAUUGAGUAUAUAAGGGAAAUUGGUAUGAAGUUCUCUUUCUUUGUUGGGUCUUUGGGUGUUUAGGUAUAAGAGUAAUUGUGACUUCUUAGAAGGAAUUUGAUAGCACUCUGUUUCUGUUUUGUGGAAUAGUUUUGACAGUAUUGGUAUGAAGUCUUCUAUGAAGGUCUGACAGAAUUCUGCACUAAACCCAUCUAGUCCUGGGCUCCUUUUGGUUGGGAGAAUUUUUUUUUAUCUUUAUUAACUUGAGUAUUUCUUAUUUCAUUUCGAUUGUUUUUCCCAUUCCCGGUUUCCAGGCCAACAUUCCCCUAGCCCCUCCCCCUCCCCUUAUUGGUGUUCCCCUCCCCAUCCUCCCCCCAUUACUACCCUCCCCCCA